GUAAGGCCUGGAAGCAAAGGUGGACUUACGAACCGUGUCAGGUCCGGAAGGAAGCAGCACUAAGUAUUUUUUGCCUUGUGCUUCUUGUUGUUAGCAAAU
rnacentral:SRP_RNA from 2 species